AGUGAACGCUGGCGGUAGGCCUAACACAUGCAGGUCGAACGGCAGCACAGGAGAGCUUGCUCUCUGGGUGGCGAGUGGCGGACGGGUGAGGAAUACAUCGGAAUCUACUCUGUCGUGGGGGAUAACGUAGGGAAACUUACGCUAAUACCGCAUACGACCUACGGGUGAAAGCAGGGGACCUUCGGGCCUUGCGCGAUUGAAUGAGCCGAUGUCGGAUUAGCUAGUUGGCGGGGUAAAGGCCCACCAAGGCGACGAUCCGUAGCUGGUCUGAAAAUAUGAUCACCCACACUGUAACUGUGACCCGGUCCAGACUGCGACGGGGGGCGGCAGUGGGUAAUAGUGGAGAAUGGGGGCAAGCCUGAUCCAGCCAUACAGCGUGUGUGAUAAAGGCCUUCGGCUGAUAACGACCUUUUCUUGGGCAAGAACAACAGCUAGCUAAUACUCGGUUGUGAAGAAGGUACCCUAACAAUGAGCACCGGCUAAAUUCGUGUCAGGAGCCGUAAUAA
rnacentral:rRNA from 1 species